GAUGAACGCUGGCGGCGUGCCUAAUACAUGCAAGUCGAGCGAACGGACGAGAAUCUUGCUUCUCUGAUGUUAGCGGCGGACGGGUGAGUAACACGUGGAUAACCUACCUAUAAGACUGGGGUAACUUCGGGAAACCGGAGCUCAUACCGGAUAAUAUUUUGAACCGCAUGGUUCAAAAGUGAAAGACGGUCUUGCUGUCACUUAUAGAUGGAUCCGCGCUGCAUUAGCUAGUUGGUAAGGUAACGGCUUACCAAGGCAACGAUGCAUAGCCGACCUGAGAGGGUGAUCGGCCACACUGGAACUGAGACACGGUCCAGACUCCUACGGGAGGCAGCAGUAGGGAAUCUUCCGCAAUGGGCGAAAGCCUGACGGAGCAACGCCGCGUGAGUGAUGAAGGUCUUCGGAUCGUAAAACUCUGUUAGUAGUGAAGAACAUAUGUGUAAGUAACUGUGCACAUCUUGACGGUACCUAAUCAGAAAGCCACGGCUAACUACGUG
rnacentral:rRNA from 1 species